ACGUGAUGUAGCUGUUAGUAGAUUUUAGCCUUGAAAAAACCAUCAUCAUCAACAACAACGAGUGCAAGUUUUGCUUGUGCCUGAAUUGACCGCUAUCAAUCUAUCAUCAUCAAAAGUCUGCUACUUCAUCACUAUGGUAUACUUUCUUUUGUCGUCCAACACAUUCUAGUGAAUGUGGGUUUAUUCACGGAGACGCCCGUCUAAUGUAUCCAACUUUUCUGCUGAUGGAACGCGUGUGGAUGCCUGGCGGUAUUUUCCAGACUUCAAGGUUGGAAACUAUUUCAUCCCUUUCUUAUUAUUGUUUACUAUUUUGUUACAUGACUUGUCGUAAAACAGUGAGGCAGCUCAGCUCAUGAAACGAUACAUGGGUCCAAAAUCCU